AGCGAACGCCGGCGGCAGGCCUAACACAUGCAAGUCGAACGAUCCUUCGGGAUAGUGGCGGACGGGUGAGUAACACGUGGGAACGCGCCCUUUGGUUCGGAAUAACUCAGGGAAACUUGAGCUAAUACCGGAGGUGCCCUUCGGGGGAAAGAUUUAUCGCCAUUGGAGCGGCCAGCGUUGGAUUAGCUAGUUGGUGGGGUAAAGGCCCACCAAGGCUGCGAUCCGUAGGUGGGCUGAGAGGAUGAUCAGCCACACUGGGACUGAGACACGGCCCAUACGCCUAGGGGAGGCAGUAGUGGGGAAUCUUGCGCAAUGGGCGAAAGCCUGACGCAGCCAUGCCGCGGGAAUGAUGAAGGUCUUAGGAUUGUAAACUUCUUUCCCCGGGGAGGAUAAUGACGGUACCCGGAGAAGAAGCCCCGGCUAACUUCGUGCCAGCCGCCGCCGUAAAAC
rnacentral:rRNA from 1 species